CUGAAGGUCCGAGUACACAGUUAUUUCGUAGUGCAUUUCUUUUGGACAAUAAAUGAAAAUUAAAAAAAUCCCACCUGCGCUUUCUCAAUAAUAUUUUUACAGUGUGUUGUACUACUUUUGGGACAAAUUAUAUCAAAAUUAUAGAAAACUUCAUCAGCUCUAACUCAAAAUAUGGACAAUUUUAUGUUAAGGGAGUCUUGAAAUCUUUUGACAGCAUCCGAAGUGCUAAUUUUUGACCUUUUUCAGCUGGACCUAAUCACUACUUUGCAUUAAUAUUUAUGACCCAAAUUUUUUUACAGUGUCAUUUCACCCCC
rnacentral:lncRNA from 1 species